CGUCGUGAGAUGUUGNGNUAAGUCCNGCGACGAGCGCNACCCUUAUUGUUAGUUGCCAUCAUUUAGUUGGGCACUCNAGCGAGACUGCCGGUGACAANCCGGAGGAAGGUGGGGAUGACGUCAAAUCAUCAUGCCCCUUAUGACCUGGGCUACACACGUGCUACAAUGGGAAGUACANNGAGUCGCUAGCCCGCGAGGUCAUGCAAAUCUCUUAAAGCUUCUCUCAGUUCGGAUUGCAGUCUGCAACUCGCCUUCAUGAAGCCGGAAUCGCUAGUAAUCGCGGAUCAGCACNCCNCNGUGAAUNCGUUNCCGGGCCUUGUNCNCCCCCCCCGUCCCACCCCGAGAGUUUGUAACCCCCGAAGUCGGUGAGGUAACCUUUUUGGAGCCAGCCGUCCUAAGGUGGGAUAGAUGAUUAGGGGUUAAGUCGUAACAAGGAAGCCGUAUCGGAAGGUUUUUUCUGGAUCGGGGAACCU
rnacentral:rRNA from 1 species